rnacentral:lncRNA from 1 species
CACAGAUGUCCUGUGUACAUCACAGCAAGGGCUCAUCACCCAUGGGUAGGUAAAGAAGAGGCAUGGAGGUGAAUGCAGGCAGCAGCUUUCAGGGAAGAAGAAGCAUCAGGCUGCAGACCUUGCCUCCUCCCUGCCCUGAUGGCAGGACUGAGGCCUCCCAGGGCACAGGGCAGGCUGGAUCUCCUCCCAAAUUGCAUGCUCCAUGCCAAAGAGGUCAAGCCACCAAAUGACACUGACUUCCUGCCUUUAAGAGCUUUAUCUCUGCGGACCUGGAGCUGCUGGUCACCAUGGAAACAGAAGCUUUUGUUCACCACUUCCUCUUCUCUUUUUCUCGCUCCCCACCCCUCGUCUUUCCUUCCUCUCCUCACACCCACUUGCCCUCCUCUCUACUUUCUUUCCUCUAUUUUUAUUCCUAAUUUUCUAUCUCACUUGCCCUGAUUUCCUCAUCUAUUUAUUUAAAACUUAUUUAAAUUUUAUUACGUAGCUUCCUUAGCCA